AUUAUUAAUAUUGCUUUCUUUUGUUUACAGGAACAGAAGAAAGUAUGGGAUGCUGCCGGAAGCGCGAGAGACGCAUCGGGAUCGGAGGUCAAUUAAUUCAUAAUGUCAACUCACACAAAACUGCAUCUGAGCCAAGCGUGAAUUCGCGCGAAACGAUUCUGCGAGGUAAUACUUCGUGAAGUAGAGAAACCUCGGCGUACAUCGAGGAAACUGCCGAGGAGGUGAAGGGCGAGGAGGGAACCGGAGGUCGAUCGAGGUCCCGAUGGAGCGCGAUGACUGAAGGACUGAAACAGUGUACAACACAAGGAGCAGACUUCGGGAAAAAUAUCAAUCUGGAGAUUGAAACGUAAAAGGCCAGCAAAGGAUUCGAGUGUCAACUGCACUGAAUCGAAGGAUGGGUGGGCAUGUCCAGGGAAGAGCGAUGCCGCGUCUAACAUCCCCGAGGGUGUCGUGAAGCCCGGAAUGGGGGGACGCCCGGGGUAGCUUCAUCAACGGAUAUUAAAGGAUUUGCAUGAAGUAUUAUUAUCGUUAUUGCCAGCAUACCCCGGCGACGAGCGAAGAGUGUGGAUGUCGAGUUAAGCGAUAAUUUUAUUCGACACUCGUUCGGCUCAAACACGUUGUCAGUUUCGUUGCCGACGACGAGAGUGCGAUUCCGUGUUAAUUAAACGCGGCUGCAAGAGAGGAGCCGCUUGAUUGAUAGAAUAUUCUCAUUGGUCGUCAGAUGGAUUUAUUUGUGUUCCCCAUCUGGGCGACAUACUUACACGGGACUGUAAGCGAAACUAGAAACGACGAUUUCCUGUCUGCGCGCUGUGAUCGGUUUUGCGCGAGCGGUGUUUACGCGAGCAGCUUAUUUAUAUAAUGGCGCGUUUAAAGGUACUAAAAAUUAUCGAUUUCCUUGCGAAACGACAACGCGGGUUUUCUUAGCCGACCCCUCGCAGCCACCGCUGUGUAAUUAAACUUUAGAAACGUAAUUUCGCGCGAGCUUUUGGCCGGUGUAAGCGGCAUUUUUACCAGAUUUUAAUACGAACGCCUCAAUAAGCGAGUCGGAUGAAUGACAUUAAAUUAUAUGGUGUGCUGUAAGGCGCUCGAACGAGGGGGGACUUGGCGCGAAUAGCAAGCCGCAUCUGUGGCCCCGCAGAGGGUGUAACUGUUAUAACGGGGCGAGGGCGAGUCCGACUUGCGCUGACUUGUGCCCGCUUCCACUUCCUAUCCCUAUAUAUUCCCUUUACUCUACUUGGCGCUAACUUUAUUGCGUGGCAAUUUGCUUAUUAACUUGCAGUUAGUCUCGGCUGCGCGUCGAUUAAUUAAUAGGCGCCGAGUCGCCAGAUGGGAGACACGCCCAGAAUCCACCUUCCGCGCCGAGCCAGCGAGAUUUGUACGCGUUAUCCUUAAAUACUCGCCACCCCACUUGCGACCCCUGCCAGAUUGUCGAACUUUAUCCAGUUCGCCGCGCUGCCAUUAAGACCGAGUCCGUCAAAUGGGAUAACAUUGCGCCGGGAUAACUUUGCAUUAGAAUGAAAACGAUUUUAUAAUUACUUAAUGUCUAAGAAAAUAAUCAGCAAGGUAACGAAAAGAGUACUGCAAGCACGGGCGCGUAUUAUUUUAAUUCGAGAUAAAUAAAUUUAAAUAGGAGAGGCAAAAAAAUGCGUCAACGGAAUUUUCGGGGUGUCGAAGCGACGCGUUUAGUACCCCUGAAGAUCGUGAAAAAGAUUGAGAUGGAUAGCAGUUUUUUUGUUGACACUUUGAAGAAAAGAAAGGAAUAGUACAGUUGUCGGAGUUGCCGUAUUUUCCAUCAUUAUGCCCCUCUCGAGCUUACUUAACACUAGUCGUAUAACCCGCGCCAGGCAAUAUACCCUAUCUCCCUUGUCUUCACCUGUGCUUAGCCAACCACCGAUAGAUGUACACACGCCUAAGCGGCCGACACUGUGGCAUUGCGUAAACGUAACGCGUUGACGACGUACGUUGGCGGGUGCAAACAUUUGUGCAGCUUCCUUAGCCGCCGCACGGUAAACCUGAACCGAGAUUUCGCUCGUUGAUGCUGUACACACAUAUACGUACACGAGAGGGUGCCGUAACGAGCUUUGAUGCUACCAUUUGGCGAACGGUUGAUUGAUCCACUUGGCUCAUUUGCUGUCUGUAGUGCCGUGUAAGAGACUUGUAAGAGUCAAGAUCAAUUAUACCGCAAGUAGGUACUUUGAGCUUGGA